CGCUGGCGGCGUGCCUAACACAUGCAAGUCGAACGAGGUCCAUGAGAGCUUGCUCUCAGAAGACCUAGUGGCGAACGGGUGAGUAACACGUGAGAAACCUGCCUCGGAGUGGGGAAUAACUCGGGGAAACUCGAGCUAAUACCGCAUAUCUUCACAUGAUCGCAUGGUCGAGUGAAGAAAGAAUUUCGCUCUGAGAGGGUCUCGCGGCCUAUCAGCUUGUUGGUGGGGUAAACGGCCCACCAAGGCAACGACGGGUAGCUGGUUUGAGAGAACGAUCAGCCACACUGGGACUGAGACACGGCCCAGACUCCUACGGGAGGCAGCAGUGGGGAAUCUUGCGCAAUGGGCGAAAGCCUGACGCAGCAACGCCGCGUGCGGGAUGACGGCCUUCGUGGUUGUAAACCGCUUUCAGCAGGGACGAAAAUGACGGUACCUGCAGAAGAAGCCCCGGCUAACUACGUG
rnacentral:rRNA from 1 species